rnacentral:lncRNA from 1 species
UAAGCAGGUCAGGACAAGAAGAAGACUACGCAACCACAACCAGAGGAGGCAAAUCAUCAAGGACGGAUGGGCAGACUACGAAGGAGAAGUGGUAAGGUCUGAAGACAUACAGCUUGAACAGAACUUUCCUGAGGAGACCGUAGCACCGAGUCAGGUGUGGAGAGAGAAGAUAGUUAUACACGAAGAGGAGGCGCACGCCGGAACCACCGACUACGCCAUCCAGCGAAUCCUAGGACGACUGAGAAUACGGAGAGUCCCGUUCGGAGGACUUAAAAACACCGAACGGCUUGCCAAGAGGUAAACUUGGUAGUUAUCUUUUUUCCUUUCAAUUAUUUAAAAUAGUUUUCUUAGUUAAUCAGGUUCAUAUCAUCUCAAAAAGAAAAUAAAAAUGUUAAAAAUAGUAAGCCCCAUGUGACUAUGCUCAUGGCAUAAAACCCAUAAGUACAUCCACUGUGGUGGCGUAAAAAUAAAAUAAAUAUAUUCCUGUCCUAUAAAAAUGAACAUAUAAAAAUAAGAUUGUGAUCCUACUAAAG